GAUGAAGAACGCAGCGAAAUGCGAUACGUAAUGUGAAUUGCAAAUUCAGUGAAUCAUCGAGUCUUUGAACGCACAUUGCGCCCCCUGGUAUUCCGGGGGGCAUGCCUGUCCGAGCGUCAUUGCUGCCCUCAAGCACGGCUUGUGUGUUGGGCCCCGUCCUCCGAUUCCGGGGGACGGGCCCGAAAGGCAGCGGCGGCACCGCGUCCGGUCCGCGAGCGUAUGGGGCUUUGUCACCCGCUCUGUAGGCCCGGCCGGCGCUUGCCGAUCAACCCAAAUUUUUAUCCAGGUUGACCUCGGAUCAGGUAGGGAUACCCGCUGAACUUAAGCAUAUCAAUAAGCGGAGGA
rnacentral:misc_RNA from 1 species